rnacentral:rRNA from 1 species
CCUACGGGUGGCUGCAGUGAGGAAUAUUGGUCAAUGGGCGCGAGCCUGAACCAGCCAAGCCGCGUGAGGGAAGACGGUCCUAUGGAUUGUAAACUCCUUUUGUCGGGGAGCAAAAGACGCCACGCGUGGCGUUCCGAGAGUACCCGACGAAUAAGCAUCGGCUAACUCCGUGCCAGCAGCCGCGGUAAUACGGAGGAUGCGAGCGUUAUCCGGAUUUAUUGGGUUUAAAGGGUGCGUAGGCGGAGUAUCAAGUCAGCGGUAAAAAUUCGGGGCUCAACCGCGGCGUGCCGUGGAUACUGAUGUUCUUGAGUGGGGGAGAGGUGGGCGGAAUGCGUGGUGUAGCGGUGAAAUGCGUAGAUAUCACGCAGAACUCCGAUUGCGAAGGCAGCUUACCGGCGUGCAACUGACGCUGAGGCACGAAAGCGUGGGUAUCGAACAGGAUUAGAUACCCCUGUAGUC